GAUCUUUCGAUUAAAAAAAAAAUCCAAGUAUUUUUUCAUGAUGGAAGGUAUGUAUGUGUGUGGGCACAUCCAGCCACCCUCCAUCAUGAAAAAAUACUUGGAUUUUAUUUUUUUUUAAUCGAAAGAUA